rnacentral:rRNA from 1 species
AUUGAACGCUGGCGGCAGGCCUAACACAUGCAAGUCGAGCGAGCGGCGGACGGGUGAGUAAUGUCUGGGGAACUGCCUGAUGGAGGGGGGUAACUCCUGGAAACGGUAGCUAAUACCCCAUACCCUCUGGUGGUCCCCGAUGGGAUUAGCUAGUAGGUGGGGUAAAGGCUCACCUAGGCGACGAUCCCUAGCUGGUCUGAGAGGAUGACCAGCCACACGGGAACUGAGACACGGUCCAGACUCCUACGGGAGGAAGCAGUGGGGAAGAUUGAACAAUGGGCGAAAGCCUGAUGCAGCCAUUCCGCGUGUGUGAAGAAGGCCUUCGGGUUGUAAAGCACUUUCAGCGGGGAGGCGUUACCCGCAGAAGAAGCACCGGCUAACUCCGUGCCAGCAGCCGCGGUAAUAC